GGUGAACGCUGGCGGCGUGCUUAAGACAUGCAAGUCGAACGCAGUCUUCGGACUGAGUGGCGCACGGGUGAGCAACAUGUAACUGACCUACCCCCAAGUCGCGAAUAACCAGCCGAAAGGAUGGCUAAUACGUGAUGUGAUGAUCCGCUGUGGCGGAUCAUUAAAGACUUGAUCGCUUGGGGAUGGGGUUGCGUUCCAUCAGCUAGUUGGUAAGGUAAAGGCUUACCAAGGCAACGACGGAUAGCCGGCCUGAGAGGGGGGCCGGCCACAGGGGCACUGAGACACGGGUCCCACUCCUACGGGAGGCAGCAGUUAGGAAUCUUCCACAAUGGGCGCAAGCCUGAUGGAGCGACGCCGCGUGAGGGAUGAAGGUUCUCGGAUCGUAAACCUCUGAACCAACGACGAAAGACCCGACAAGGGAGAUGACGGUAGUUGGGUAAUAGCACCGGCUAACUCCGUGCCAGCCGCCGCAGUAAUAC
rnacentral:rRNA from 1 species